rnacentral:rRNA from 1 species
GACGUAGGGCGCGAGCGUUGUUCGGAAUUACUGGGCGUAAAGGGCUCGUAGGCGGCCAACUAAGUCAGACGUGAAAUCCCUCAGCUUAACUGGGGAACUGCGUCUGAUACUGGAUGGCUUGGAUUCGGGAGAGGAAUGCGGAAUUCCAGGUGUAGCGGUGAAAUGCGUAGAUAUCAGGAGGAACACCCGUGGCGAAGGCGGUUCUCUGGGACGGUACUGACGCUGAGACGCGAAAGCGUGGGGAGCGAACGGG